AAGAUGAGCUGUUCUGCUACAGCUGUUUGUUUGUGGGACUAGCGUACCAGGACGCUCGUCUGCC
rnacentral:pre_miRNA from 1 species